CCUGAUAUCAUGCUGAACUGCAUGGUUUGAAAUUGAAGGGCCCGCUUCGGCUGUCACUUAUGGAUGGACCCGAAUCCCACUAGCUAGUUGGUGAGGUAACGGCUCACCAAGGCAACGAUGCGUAGCCGACCUGAGAGGGUGAUCGGCCACACUGGGACUGAGACACGGCCCAGACUCCUACGGGAGGCAGCAGUAGGGAAUCUUCCGCAAUGGACGAAAGUCUGACGGAGCAACGCCGCGUGAGUGAUGAAGGCUUUCUGGUCGUAAAACUCUGUUGUUAGGGAAGAACAAGUGCUAGUUGAAUAAGCUGGCACCUUGACGGUACCUAACCAGAAAGCCACGGCUAACUACGUGCCAGCAGCCGCGGUAAUACGUAUGUGGCAAGCGUUAUCCGGAAUUAUUGGGCGUAAAGCGCGCGCAGGUGGUUUCUUAAAUCUGAUGUGAAAGCCCACGGCUCAACCGUGGAGGGUCAUUGGAAACUGGGAGACUUGAGUGCACAAGAGGAAAGUGGAAUUCCAUGUGUAGCGGUGAAAUGCGUAGAGAUAUGGAGGAACACCAGUGGCGAAUGCGACUUUCUGGGUCUGUAACUGACACUGAGGCGCGAAAGCGUGGGGAGCAAACAGGAUUAGAUACCCUGGGUAGUCCACGCCGUACACCCAUGAGUGCCUGGUGUUUCGACGGUUUCCCUCCCUUUAUUGCCGGAAGUUAACGUAAUUAUCACUUCCGCCUGGGCGAGAACGGGCCCCACCGCCUGAAGCCUCAAAACGCAAUUGGACGGGGGAGCCCGGCACCACACCAUUAGAA
rnacentral:rRNA from 1 species